AUUGAACGCUGGCGGCAUGCCUUACACAUGCAAGUCGAACGGUAACAGCUCUUCGGAUGCUGACGUGUGGCGAACGGGUGCGUAAUACAUCGGAACGUGCCCGAUCGUGGGGGAUAACGAGGCGAAGGCUUUGCUAAUACCACAUACGAUCUACGGAUGAAAGCGGGGGAUCUUCGGAACUCGCGCGGUAGGAGCGGCCGAUGGAAGAUUAGGUGGUUGGUGGUAUAGAAGCUUACCAAGCCGACGAUCUGUAGCUGGUCUGAGAGGAUGAUCGGCCACACUGGGACUGAGACACGGCCCAGACUCCUACGGGAGGCAGCAGUGGGGAAUUUUGGACAAUGGGCGAAAGCCUGAUCCAGCCAUGCCGCGUGCAGGAUGAAGGCCUUCGGGUUGUAAACUGCUUUUGUACGGAACGAAAAGCCUCUUGCUAAUAAAGAGGGGUCAUGACGGUACCGUAAGAAUAAGCACCGGCUAACUACGUG
rnacentral:rRNA from 1 species